AGUGAACGCUGGCGGUAGGCCUAACACAUGCAAGUCGAACGGCAGCACAGUAAGAGCUUGCUCUUACGGGUGGCGAGUGGCGGACGGGUGAGGAAUACAUCGGAAUCUACUUUUUCGUGGGGGAUAACGUAGGGAAACUUACGCUAAUACCGCAUACGACCUACGGGUGAAAGCAGGGGAUCUUCGGACCUUGCGCGAUUGAAUGAGCCGAUGUCGGAUUAGCUAGUUGGCGGGGUAAAGGCCCACCAAGGCGACGAUCCGUAUCUGGUCUGAGAGGAUGAUCAGACAGACUGGAACUGAGACACGGUCCAGACUCCUACGGGAGGCAGCAGUGGGGAAUAUUGGACAAUGGGCGAAAGCCUGAUACAGCCAUACCGCGUGGGUGAAGAAGGCCUUCGGGUUGUAAAGCCCUUUUGUUGGGAAAGAAAAGCAGCAGGUUAAUACCCCGCUGUUCUGACGGUACCCAAAGAAUAAGCACCGGCUAACUUCGUG
rnacentral:rRNA from 1 species